UGCAUAGACCUACACGGAAAAGACCCCAGGAUCCGCCAUUUCUCUAAAAAGAAAAUCGAAGGAAAAUCAGCCAUCUUCUUUCAUUUUGAGAAGAGAUCAGCCAAAAAAAGGAGCUAACCUAAGAGAAGAGACUAACGCCUCAGACUUAGACAAAAAGAGGCAACAACUUCUUCUUCAAACAAAAAACGCAGAACCAAAGACCGUGAAUAAUUCAACCCCAUUCUUCGACACCACCCAUCUCUUAGCCGUUUCAGUUGUGAAAAGUCAUAGCUUUAACCCCAAAAUCCAACUGCAAAUAGUCUUAAAAUUAGUCUCUAAUCUCUCGCCAAAACUCCAAAAGAUCAGUGUAAAUCAGCCUACACCACCAUGCCAACAAUUUCUUUUUCCAGCCGGGUUCAAAUGGUAUUUCGAAAGGUCUUGUUCGAAGUUCGUCGUCGUGAGUUCCAAGCGAGGUGUUUUUCCAUGGUCUUGUUUAUUUUCUCUUGUCAAAAUUAUUGAUUAAUCAAGGUUCAGUUUCAAUUUUAAGGUGACACAAGAGGAGAAGCAGAAAAUAUACGGCACCUUGAAGCAUAUGUAGAAGAUGUGAGAAGAAGAGAGAGUGGAAGCAAAGGUUGUGAGAACACAGAUUUAAUUCCAUAACUUUUAGAAGCAAUGGUUGUAAGAUUACAGACUUUGAAUUUGCUAGUGCUUUCAAAAUAUGUACAAUAUGGGCUAGGUUAGGUAAAAUUUUAAAACAUGGGCCAUUUUUUAUUAUGAUCUAAAGUCAUGUGUAUUUUUUUGUAAUUUUUUCAUAUAUUAAGUGGUAAUUUGAUA